AUUGAACGCUGGCGGCAGGCCUAACACAUGCAAGUCGAACGAGUGGCGGACGGGUGAGUAAUGUCUGGGAAACUGCCCGAUGGAGGGGGAUAACUACUGGAAACGGUAGCUAAUACCGCAUACCAUCGGAUGUGCCCAGAUGGGAUUAGCUAGUAGGUGGGGUAACGGCUCACCUCGGCGACGAUCCCUAGCUGGUCGGAGAGGAUGACCGGCCACACUGGAACUGAGACACGGGCCGGAAUCCUACGGGGGGCAGCAGUGGGGAAUAUUGCACGGUGGGCGCAGGCCUGAUGCAGCCAUGCCGCGUGUAUGAAGAAGGCCUGCGGGUUGUAAAGUACGUUCAGCGAGGAGGCGUUACUCGCAGAAGAAGCACCGGCUAACUCCGUGCCAGCAGCCGCGGUAAUAC
rnacentral:rRNA from 1 species